GUACAGGGAGUGGAUUUGCAUGAAGGGGCCGUUCUCCAGCGCUGGGGGUUUAAGAGGGAAUCGGAGGGUCCCAGCCACAGACCCGUUUGCCUCAGGAAGCCGAGCUCGUCUGGAUUCCCACCAUGGCCUGGGCCCCUCUGCUCCUCACGCUGCUCACUUACUGCUCUGGUUCCCUCUCCCAGGUUACUCUGACUCAGCCGCCCUCAGUGUCAGUGUCCAUUGGCAACACAGUUAAACUCUCCUGCGCCUUUGACAAUAGAUACACAUUUGGAAGUGUCCUCUGGUACCAACAGAAAGAUGGGAACAGCCCAAGAUACCUUCUGAGUUACAACAGUGACUCUGACAAGCACCAGGGCUCGGGGGUCCCCAGUCGCUUUUCUGGUUCCAAAGACGCCUCUAAUACAAUCUGUUACUUAACCAUCACCAGCGUCCAAGCAGAGGAUGAGGCUGAUUAUUACUGGGCCAGUUCGCAGCCCACGCUGACCCAGCCGCCUGCAGACUCAGUGUCCUUGGGAAACACCGUGAAACUCUCCUGCACUCUGAGCAGUCAGCACAGCAGCUACACUGUCGAAUGGUGUUACAUCAGCGACAGUUCCAAGGAGGACCCUUUGACCCAGCCAUUGAUGGAUACGUCGGAACCCGACCCCGAAACCCUCGUGAAGCACCCCGAUGAACGUGACGGCCUCUCUUUGUCCACCCCCUCAGAGGUGGAAGGCGAUCGCGGCUCGGGGGAGGCACCGGCGGACAAAGUGAAUGGAAAAGACGGAGCUCAG